GUCUGAGACAGAGGGGAUCGCAGUGGAGACUGCACUCGCUUCAGCAGUUACCAGCUCUGGUAAUAUCUGUUGAGCAACUGCUCCAUGGCAGGGCUGGGGAGGUGGCCCGUGAACAAAUUGGCCAGGGCAGGUCCCUGCUCCGACCUGUGGUGCUUGCAGUCACCGUCUGGGGAGGGACUGCAAAACCACACAGACAGUACGACAGACGGUGCACCAUGAGGAGAAGGUCUGGCUUCCAUGAACAUGUGCCACAGCGGGAGCAAAGUAAAUGAGAUUGGAGGGGGCCAGGAGGAAAUGACAUUGAAGCUCAGAGGAAGAGAAUUUAACCAGGACUGGACUGUCUUCCGGGGGCGAUCAGAGCAAAGGCGCUAAGAUGACAGGAGCCACUAUGCGUCUGAAGAAGCCAGCUUCAUCAACUUCAUUCCUGAGUCAUACUUACUUAAUAAACAAGACAAGAUCAACAACAAGAAAGGUGGAAGAACACAGCUGGUUUACCUGCACAGGAGCUAAAUACUUUGCAAUUCCAUUGGCUGAGCGCAACACCAAGAGGCUGACUAAGAGGAGCACACAUGCACAACUGCUGCGUGGGAAACAGGAUGGCAGCGAGUGGGUUGUCCCUAGAAGCUCAGCUUCAAGCAAUGUUCUGUACCACUGAGUAACAGCAGCCGCUGACAAACCUGCUCAGCCUGUUGACACACUUCAGGGUAGCUCUGUCCAGUGCAGGGCAGAUGGCUGUGUACAAAUAACUAGCAACGUGAUGCAAGCUUCCCAUGGUGAAAUCAAAACACCAAAGGGUAGCCAGUCUUGACUUGUUCCUACCCUUCAAAAAAUGGUCAAGCUUCUGGGUGGUACUUAGUGACUCUGAAUAUGCAGGACACACAGAGAUAACCAGAGAGAUGCUCACCUAGCAGAGGAGACACCAUGAUCACCUAAUCAGGGAGUACACAGGGACAGCUAAUAGACGCAAAACCCUUCCUUCAUGUUUGAAAUUCAAAUUUAUAGAAGGCUUAAAUAUAAUACAUGCUUAUAUAUAAAAAUUUAAAAAGUAGCUGGGCACAGUGGCUCACACCUGUAAUCCCAGCCCUUUGGGAGGCCAAGGCGGAUGGAUCACCUGAGGUCAGGAGUUCGAGACCAGCCUGGCCAACAUGGUGAAGCCCCUUCUCUACUAAAAAUACAAAAAUUAGCCGGGCGUGAUGGUAGGCGCCUGUAAUCCCAGCUACUCAGGAGGCUGAAGCAGGAUAAUCUCUUGAACCCGGGAGGCGGAGGUUGCAGUGAGCCAAGAUCAUGCCAUCGCACUCCAGCCUGAGGGACAAGAGGGAGACUUCGUCUCAAAAAGAAAAAAAAAAGAAAAGAAAAGUAGAAAAUUGAAAAAUAAUAAAAGGAGUUGUUAUUUUAAUUAAGUUUAAAAUAAUAUUUCCCUGUUGUAAAAGUUAUUCAUGCUUAUUGUGAAUAAUUUGGAAAAUAAAAAGUGUAACUCAGGAAGCUAAGGCAGGAGAAUCGCUUGCACCAGGGAGGUGGAGGUUGCAGUGAGCCAAGAUCGCACCACAGCACUCCAGCCUGGGCGACAGAGUGAGAUUCUGUCUCAAAAAAAUAAAAAGAAAAUAAAAAGUGUAAA
rnacentral:lncRNA from 1 species